rnacentral:lncRNA from 1 species
AUGUCUCAGAAUGUGGAUUAUGGAAGGCAUUUGCAAGCACUGGAGCAAACCUCUAAAGUGUUCAGCAUCAGUAGAAAUGACAAGAAAUGCCACAAGCAGAUCAUAUCUGUGAAUCCAGCAUUCAGAAUUUUCUUUGGAGCAGAUGAAGAAUGUGGAGGGUUUUGUCUUUGACAGCAACAAGUGGGGGGUCUGUGAGGAUUUGCUGGCAGCAGCAGGUGAGGCGGGUGAGAUGAUCUUUGUCUGAAGUGUGAGAACAGCAGACAGUGGGAGGGAGUCAACAGUAGUGAACCUGCUGAGCUGCUGCUGUGGAGCACAGGGAUGGGUCUUUACAGCGCCAAAAACACUGGACAGGAAGAGCAGAUCGAGUUUCUUUUGAGUGCCAAUGGAUUCAAGCUGUAAAUGUGUGAGAUCUUGAUCAGUAAUGACUUCUGGCGUAUGGAAAAUACAAUACUUUGAACAAAAUGACAUUGAAUUUAUGGGUUUGUGGAGAUUUAUUACAGAAGGAAAUCUGUUUUUUUCGCUGCAUUGGAAAUCCCCUGCUGUCACAAUGCAAGGCUGUUGAUGAAUUUUUGUGACAUAAAUUGUACAUGUUUUAACAUGCUCAUAAAUAGAAAAACUGGUCUUGUCUAACAGCUUCUUUAAUUGUCAUUAUAGGCCUUUUAUUUUGUACACAAUUGUUGUCCUCAGAUGACUCAAAACUCUGGAAGACUUUGCGGUGCCUUAAUCAUUAAUUAUAAUCCUAAUAUAAGAUAUAUUUUUUGCUCAUGUCACCUGUUCUCUGUAGUUUCCAGGGCUUGCGUUGCGUUUAUUAUUUUGUUGCAAGCAGAUUAAAAGGAUAGAAAAUUGUCAUAAUUUAUUCACCCUCUUUUUGUUCCAAACCUAUAUUUGUUCCGAAACUUUCUUUUGUGGAACAUUGAAGUAAUUUCAGACUUUUUUUUUUUUUGUGCUUACAAUAUAAAUCAAUGGGAACCAAAAUGGUUUGGUCACUAUUUGGUCAGAAAGGUUUGGAACAACAUUAUUUACAAUGUGAGUAAAUAAUGACAGGAUAUUCUCAUUUUUCGGGUGAACUAUCACUUUAAUGAAAAAAAAAAAAAAAUCUAAAUUACAGUCAAAUUACUAUUAUUUUGUUUAAUGUGGUCUUUUUAAAAUAUACUCUUUUUUUAAUUAAAGCUAGACUGCAGCAAAUAUUUAGACAUUUUGAAAACAUCCCCUGAUUGCAUCUCUUCUUAAAGGAGUUAACCUUCUGUCCCAGGCCACUGAGUAAAGCGUUCAGUCCAGCCUCUCAGGGGAAUAAACACAGACAACUCAUAAAAUGGAUUAUUGCUUUAGUUAUGUUAUUUAUGGUGACAGAAGUAUGUAAACUGUAUGGAGACUGAAAAGAGAAAAACACUCAGCCAAAGACCUCCAAAGACAGCAGCCAAAAAUAAAAUCGGUGGUGUUGAGUUGUUGUUCUGAAGGACUCCAAACUGACAAGUCCCACGGGAACAAAACAUUGCUUUUCAUAACAGAAUAUGCUUCUUUUUUUUAUACCGCAAAGCACAUUUAUACUUUAGUAAUGAAGCUAUUAUUUAAGAACCAAGAACUGUUUAAAAAGGAAAGAACAAGUUGCCUGAAAUCCUUCGCCCAAUAUUCGUUUACAAUAACAAUAUAUAAAUCUUCAAUUUACAAAUCUGACCGGUCGACAGCAAACUGAUUUCAUAAUGAUUCAUUAUUUGCUAAUUACUAUUCACUGAAACACCACAAUGCAAUUGCUGAACUUUAAAUCUUAAAGUACUGAACAGCUGAAGUCAUCUCCAGAAAAAGGCCCUUAAUUUUCUAAUUAAAUCUCAAAUGAACAACAACAAUAGUUGGAUUGAGUUUUCACUCAUACAUCAUUAAAACUGUGCCUUUGACUUCUUUCAGUGUGCUGUCGUCAUUCAUUUGUAUCAAUCUUUUUCAGACCGUUACGGUGUCUUGUGUUAUGAUUAAUUAUUCAUAAUAAAUCUGAUUACUUGGGAGAGAUAAUCAGAAAACAAAAUGCGGCAGAUGACGGUGGAGGUGAGUGGAAGUUGUAGAGAAGACCCUGUGGAGCCCAGGAUCUGCAAUUAAACUGAUGAAGCGCACAAGCGUGGAUUAAGUGCUCAGUCAGAUGUUCAGUUAGGCUACACACAGCCGCACACAUACAUUUGCUGUGCCCUGUUCUCUAAUUAUAAUUCAUCAUUCAUUUCUCAGUGUGUCAUCGGCAAGAUUAUAUUAGCAAAUCUCCAAGCGCCAAACAAAACAUACAAAAACAUGCAAUCCUCACAAACAACGUUCCCCCAAUGAACCUGUUUAGUGACUAUUUGAGGCUUUGGUUUUUUUGUUGUUGUUUUGUUUCAGGGUUUUAUAUAUGCAUAUAUAUAUGUGUCUGUGUGUGUGUUUAAAAAAAAACUUUCAUUAUAAUUUUUGCGUACUGAGACUGAAAAAGGAGUGAAAUCCACCUUAACAUUUCUAAGUUAUAUGGUAAUUAUAUGUUUCAUAGUUUUUCCAUGCUGUGAUGAUGUGAUGAAAUAUAUAGAGCUGGUGUGAAAGAGCAGGGAAAUCUGUGGGAAUUGUAAAUGGAUAGUUAAAUGCACAAUGGAAAUUUAUGUGCCCGCAGAUGUCACAGACACAUGUGCAACCUCAGAGAGCGACAGAAAAAAAACCUUUUUGACAUGGUGCAAUUAGUGUAAAUCUUUAGUAUCUUCACAUAGAAAUAUAUGAACCAAAAUUCACUUAAAUCAAGUACUAUUUAUGUGGGAAAACCCUCAUGAAAACUUAUGUGCACAGUGCAUGUGCAUUUGAUUCCCACAAGGUGGCAGACUUUCCUCAAGAUAAAAUAUGGUCUUCCUCUACCAAAGAAGCGUACAUCAGCAAAAUAAUUAUACUGGGGUAAGGUGAGCAAAUUAAGUUAUAGUUGCAUUGUUUAUUAUAAUUGUUCACCUUAUUUGAGGCUCUCUAAUAAGGAAAGGUUGUUAAAAAGGAAGUAGGCUUUCCCAUAUGCAGUGAAUAUGACAUGGGGUGAUGUCAGUAAAAACAAUUUGAACAAUGUUUGCUUAGAGGAUUACAGGUGACAUGAGACAAAGAGAGUGAAAAGAAUUUCUUUCUGAAGCCACAAGUUUAGACAUGUGUCAAUGCAUGCUCUAAGACAUGGAAAAAAUUGAGUGAGAGUGCAAAAAUAAAAGCCACGG